UACGUAGGUGACAAGCGUUGUCCGGAUUUACUGGGCGUAAAGAGCGCGCAGGCGGUCGUUCAAGUCGAGUGUGAAAGCCCCCGGCUCAACUGGGGAGGGUCACUCGAUACUGAUCGACUCGAAGGCAGGAGAGGGUAGUGGAAUUCCCGGUGUAGUGGUGAAAUGCGUAGAUAUCGGGAGGAACACCAGUGGCGAAGGCGACUAUCUGGCCUGUUCUUGACGCUGAGGCGCGAAAGCUAGGGGAGCAAACGGG
rnacentral:rRNA from 1 species